UACGAAGGGGGCUAGCGUUGCUCGGAAUCACUGGGCGUAAAGGGCGCGUAGGCGGCCAUUCAAGUCGGAGGUGAAAGCCCAGGGCUCAACCCUGGAAUUGCCUUCGAUACUGUCUGGCUAGAGACCGGAAGAGGUAAGUGGAAUUCCGAGUGUAGAGGUGAAAUUCGUAGAUAUUCGGAAGAACACCAGUGGCGAAGGCGGCUCACUGGCCCGUUACCGACGCUCAGGCGCGACAGCGUGGGGAGCAAACAGG
rnacentral:rRNA from 1 species